CCUAUGGGGGACAUGGAUGGGCAGGGCAAGCCAACAGGCUUUGAGUGCAGCCUUAGUUUUCUAAGGGAACGGCUUCAAUGGGGUGGUUUCUUGGUGCUCCCACCCCUCCCUGUUGGUACUUGGUUAGGCUCAGUGUGCUCCCAGAUAACAGCCCAAUUAUCAGAGGGGCAGAGCAGAUCCAGCUGUGCAGAUGUGGGGCUGGGGAUGUGCCAUGGAGGAGGGCACAGCCUGGGGGGGGCUUUGGGGCAGCCCCAUGGAUGGGAGACCCCACGGGUAGAACCUGACAGGUUGGAGGUGUUACCUGUGCUGUUACUGGUGCUGUUCCCAUCUGUUGGGAUCCCACCUGCAGGACAAGAGAAGGUGCCUGAGACAGCGGACAAGAGCCCGUGUAGGACAGACCCAUGUAGGACAAACCCAUGUAGGACAAAACCAUGUAGGACAGACCCAUAUGUAGGACAAACCCAUGUAGGACAAAACCAUGUAGGACAGACCCAUGUAGGACAAACCCAUGUAGGACAGACCCAUGUAGGACAGACCCAUGUAGGACAAACCCAUGUAGGACAAAACCAUGUAGGACAGACCCAUGUAGGACAAAACCAUGUAGGACAGACCCAUGUGGAGAAACCUUCAUAAUACAAAGCCUUGUAAGACAAGUCAAUGUAGAGCAAACCCAUGUAUGACAAGCCCAUGUGGACAAACCCAAAUGGGAUGACAUGUACUGUGCGUGCCCACCCCACAUAGGACAGCAUGCUUUGGAGCUUCAACCAGGACAUUGGAGUACAGAUCCCUUUACAUCCACCCCAUCUCCUGAAUUUCCUCUAGGUAAGCAGCUUUCUGGUUGACAUCCCACCCCAAAACCUGUCUUUGCUUCUAAACCUGGGGACCCCCAGCACCGCAAGCACCCCGGUUGCUUUUGCUGCAGCUGGGCAGGAAGCACAGCUCUGUUUAUUGCAUCGCUUCAGUGCCCACCUCCAUCUGCUCACUGCCAAACCCCACUGAUUCCUCACUGUGCACCCCACAGAACCUCCAAAGACAAAGUCCGUGUUACACUGGGUCCCCCAAAGCCACCCCAAGAGCCAUAGUGAAACCUGGUCACCCCAAAUCCAUGCAGGGCUCAGGCCGGCACCCAGCAGAUGCUCUGCAAGGGGAAGACCCCCAAGGAAAGACCCCCAGCCUGAAGAUGGGGUGGGAGCUGCUGCAGAGUUUGGGAGUGAGCAAAAGGGGGAGGAAGGGACAGGAGCCAUGUCCUGGGUUGUAAUGCUGGUUCUGCAGGGAUGGAAAGCCCAAACAAUUCCACCCUCAAAGCCUUUUUGCUGCUGUUUCUCCUCUCCUUGGUGCUCAAUCCUAUGGAGUAAAGGGAGGUGGCUUGGCUGUAGCUUUAGCAAUGUGUUGGCCUGAUUUCUUCCCAUACUCUGAGGGUCAUAAAUGGUGAAAAAUCCCACGUUUUUGUGCCCCUUAGCCAUGAAGGCUCCUAGCUGCCCCCCAGCUUCCGUUGCCACCCCUCCAUCACCCACGGGCUGCCUACAUGCACAACCACAAAGCUUAAAGCAGAUCCAUUUGGAUGCAGUUGGCUGGAUGGAAUCUCUUGGUGCACAGAGCACAGGGACGCGUGGCACCCUGUGCUCCUCACUGCUCCGACCCUCUGCAGCACAGAGCCCUCAUCGAUGCCUACCUGCAGCCACGGCCAUCAGCCAGAGGUUGGCCUGGAGCACCCAUAGCCUCGUGUAGAGAUCUCCCAUCUUCUCACUGCGGGCAGCAGGGCAGCAUCCAGGGCUGCACCUCACCCCUUGGCUCUGACUCAGCCCUGUGGUUCCCCAUCACUGUGGCACAGUGUAUCUCCAAGCACCAUGCUCUGUGAGUGAGCACUGGGCCAUAACUCCCUGCAAAAAGCACCUUGGGGUCCUUCUGUCAGCCAGGCUGGUCCCCAGAGCCCAGCUUUGCCUCCUGGGGGCCUCCCCAAACCCUCACCUCCUGCAGGUCGUUUCCUUUGUGUUUCUGAGCAUACGGCGCUGCUGGGAGCCAGCCUGUGUGCAAGGGAGCAGGAAUAAAGGUUACAUGAGAAACUGUGGCCUCAUGGGGGGAAAGAGAUGGUGGGAGAAGUGCCUCCUCCAUGCAGAGCAGCCCAGCAUUUGAUACAAGAACACAGCCACGGUGUCCCAGGAAGACAGAAGCAGUGGAGAUGCCCCCAGGGUGGGAUGAGCUGCGCUGUGAGCUGUGCAGAGCUGCUGCUGGGCAGCUGCACCCUUCCUCAGCCCAUUCCUAUUCAUGGUGGCUUGGGUUUCACUGCUGUCCUCCCCUGUUGUUGUGUGGGGAGAAGGAUGCUGGCUCAUGCCACCCCUCCCUGCAGCCCUCUGCCUGCGUGGGGACCCUGCUUGGAUUACACUGGCCCCUGCGUGAGUUGUUCCAGCAAAGACAAAAUAGCACUGAGGCCUUGCCAUGUCCCAUGGGGACCUCUGUGGGUCCUAGGGGUGACUCAGCCUUCACCACACACAGGUGCAGGAACAUCCUUCACCCCCUCCCUGUGAUGCUGAGCUGUUGCCGGGUAGCCAGUGGGGCAGGUUCAGCUUCGCCCACAGAUUCCAGUAUGAGGCAACUCAAAGCAGUCUGCACCUUUUCUUCACCAACCCUUCUCCUUGGCUGGAUCCAUGGCAGCAUCUCCUACAGCCCCUACAGGGUUAGGAGGAGGCACCCAGCAGAACCGUGGUCCCAUUCAUGUGAUGCUUUGGGAGUUGUGGGGGGGAUUUCAGUCCACAGCUGUUGGACAGUGCCAUAUUGAGGUCCUGGCAUGUCCAGAAGGUCCCCAAAUCUCCCUUCACCUUGGCUGGACCAACAGCUGCAUCUUCUAUGGGGCUGGCAGGAGGCACCCAGCAGCCCAUAGUUGCAUCCACAAGCAGUUCUGGGGUUGCUUUGGGGGUUUCAGCCCAUAGAUUCUGGACAGAUCCCCAUUGGGGUCCAGACCCAUCCAGGAGGUCUCUGGACCCCCAGGAGGGGGUGUUUAUAAGCCGAGGAGGUGAUUUCCCCCUCCCAGGUGUAUGGAAAGCACUUCCUCCUCUAACACACACCAACGCAUUCGGUAUCGUAAUAAGAGACCGUUCACGAUUGUUUAUUUUAAGAAAUGUACAAAGAAAAAAUGGCUUCAGCUGACACAAACUCUGCUCUUUGGCAUUUUCCCGUCACCGACGACAUGUACAUACAAGCAGCAUUCAUUGUGAACCUCAACCCGGGCUGGAAAGCACCCGGCCGAACGCAUGGGGACCCACCGAGCUCUAUGGGGUGCCACAGGGCAUCCGCAAUGGCUGGGAGCCAAAACCAGCCCGAGGAAAAAGAAAGAAUAAUAAUAAUUAAUAAUAAUUAUUAAUAAUUAAUAAUAAUAAAAAACAGGAAAAAAAAAAGGAAAAAAAAAAAAGACAGACCCUUUGGCUUCACGCAGCAGCCCUUAUUUUAAGUGGAAGAGGUUUUGGUUCGUGGUUGUUUUGACUUAUGGGGCCCCAUUGGAGCAACUCAAUGCAAAGACCAUUCCCCAGACCCCAGGGAUGCGUCCCAUUAACUAACACUAAUUUCCGCUCACUGUGGGGAUCAAAGUGCUUUUGUUACAGGGAAUCCCCAGCAGAGACCAUCUCUGCCCAUUGCUUUCCUGCCACGAAAUUUGGAUGGAACAGG